UUUCUUUAGGUGUAUAUGUGUCGCAAGUAACGCAUCUUUUGUUUUAUAGGAUAGGCAUUUAACUAUGAUUGGGCGACAUUUGCCCUGGCUGAAGGUACCCAAGCGAUGCGCGCGUUCAAUGGCAUCAGAGGAAAGGGGAGAAGAAAGGUGGCAAUUGAGAGUGGAAAUAACUUUUUCCUCUGUCAUUGCCCAGGUUUCUUCAGAAUCUGGGAUGCCGUAGAAAAUGAGGUUGUUGCGUCGCAGUCUGUCAUCGUGAUCCUGCACGCGUGUUUGCAAUGAGCAUACCUGAGCGGAAAGCUGAUCUGUCUGAGUAUGGAUGCUACUAACUUCCUGGUGAGCGGGUGUGAACAUCUUUGAGCAUUUGGAAAAUGACCCUCAUCUGUUCCGCGGGAUCUGCGGGUAAGGAUGCUAUGUCACCGAGCGUGUCCGAACGCUUGGUAGGGGGCCCGGGGUUGCUCUCAACAUCGCCAGCGCGUAGAAGCAAAAAAGGUAUGAAAAAAACAUUCACAAAACACUUCACACAACACCCGUGGACACGGGACCAGUAUUAAGCAGAGGUUGUUAUUUUUCUUUGCAUAUAAAGAAACGUUUGCACACACCUGCAUUGCAAAAGGGAAGCGAUUCAGUGCUUGUACAGAAGCACCGAUCCCGUGUCCACUGAAUUGGUUU